UAGAAGGCUGUUAGGCAAAUCCGGCAGCGUAAUUCAAGGGUAUGGGACGAGCGAACUUGUUCGCGAAGCAAUCGGAAGUGGUUCCAAGAAAAGCCUCUAAGCUUCAGUCUAACGAGACCGUACCGCAAACCGACACAGGUGGGCGAGAUGAGUAUUCUAAGGCGCUUGAGAGAACUCGGGAGAAGGAACUCGGCAAAUUUGUACCGUAACUUCGGGAUAAGGUACGCCCUAGUAGUUUGACUGGCCUGCGCCAGGAGGACAAACGGGUUGCAAUAAAAAGGUGGCUGCGACUGUUUAAUAAAAACACAGCACUCUGCAAACACGAAAGUGGACGUAUAGGGUGUGACGCCUGCCCGGUGCUGGAAGAUUAAAUGAUGGGGUGCAAGCUCUUGAUUGAAGUCCCAGUAAACGGCGGCCGUAACAAUAACGGUCCUAAGGUAGCGAAAUUCCUUGUCGGGUAAGUUCCGACCUGCACGAAUGGCGUAACGAUGGCCACACUGUCUCCUCCCGAGACUCAUCGAAGUUGAAAUGUUUGUGAUGAUGCAAUCUACCCGCGGCUAGACAGAAAGACCCCAUGAACCUUUACUGUAGCUUUGCAUUGGACUUUGAACCAAUCUGUGUAGGAUAGGUGGGAGGCUUUGAAGUAGGGACGCCAGUCUCUAUGGAGCCAUCCUUGAAAUACCACCCUGGUUUGUUUGAGGUUCUAACCUUGGUCCGUUAUCCGGAUCGGGGACAGUGCAUGGUAGGCAGUUUGACUGGGGCGGUCUCCUCCCAAAGUGUAACGGAGGAGUUCGAAGGUACGCUAGAUACGGUCGGACAUCGUGUUGAUAGUGCAAUGGCAUAAGCGUGCUUAACUGCGAGACUGACAAGUCGAGCAGGUACGAAAGUAGGACAUAGUGAUCCGGUGGUUCUGUAUGGAAGGGCCAUCGCUCAACGGAUAAAAGGUACUCUGGGGAUAACAGGCUGAUUCCUCCCAAGAGUUCAUAUCGACGGGGGAGUUUGGCACCUCGAUGUCGGCUCAUCACAUCCUGGGGCUGUAGCCGGUCCCAAGGGUAUGGCUGUUCGCCAUUUAAAGUGGUACGUGAGCUGGGUUUAAAACGUCGUGAGACAGUUUGGUCCCUAUCUGCCGUGGGCGUUGGAAGUUUGAAGGGGGCUGCUCCUAGUACGAGAGGACCGGAGUGGACGAACCUCUGGUGUAUCGGUUGUCACGCCAGUGGCAUUGCCGAGUAGCUAAGUUCGGAAGAGAUAACCGCUGAAAGCAUCUAAGCGGGAAACUUGCCUUGAGAUGAGACUUCCCGGGGGUUUAACCCCCCUAAAGGGUCGUUCGAGACCAGGACGUUGAUAGGUCAGGUGUGGAAGCGCAGUAAUGCGUUAAGCUAACUGAUACUAAUUGCCCGUGAGGCUUGUCC
rnacentral:rRNA from 1 species